GACGAACGCUGGCGGCGUGCUUAACACAUGCAAGUCGAACGGAAAGGCCCUGCUUUUGUGGGGUGCUCGAGUGGCGAACGGGUGAGUAACACGUGAGUAACCUGCCCUUGACUUUGGGAUAACUUCAGGAAACUGGGGCUAAUACCGGAUAGGAGCUCCUGCUGCAUGGUGGGGGUUGGAAAGUUUCGGCGGUUGGGGAUGGACUCGCGGCUUAUCAGCUUGUUGGUGGGGUAGUGGCUUACCAAGGCUUUGACGGGUAGCCGGCCUGAGAGGGUGAGCGGCCAAAUUGGGACUGAGAUACGGCCGAGACUCAUACGGGAGGCAGCAGUGGGGAAUAUUGCACAAUGGGCGGAAGACUGAUGCAGCAACGCCGCGUGCGGGAUGACGGCAUUCGGGUUGUAAACCGAUUUCGCCUGUGACGAAGAGUGAGUGACGGUAAUGGGUAAAGAAGCACCGGCUAACUACGUG
rnacentral:rRNA from 1 species